GUCGCCUCGUGGUGUGUUUUCAGAGGAUCCGCUUCCUUUUCCAGAGCCCUUUUGCUAUCAGCGCACAAGUGAGGCCAUCUUAUUUCGUAAAUGCAGAGCUUAGUGCUACUUGGGAGUCAAGACAGCUGUUCAGCAGAUCCCUGAUGCGGUCAAGACCAUACAAGCGGCUCUCCUGGCUGCCACGGUCUUCGUGAGGAUUCUGCGGGCCAGAAGCAAGCGGAAAAAACAAUGAGGAACUGUCCUCCGGGUAUCCGGUGACUACGGAGCAAACGUUGCCUGGCCAGCAGCCCUGGCGUUUGGUUUAUUGACUUCAUUCUGUUUCGUGACCCUUGAGGCCUCUUUUAGCAAAGCUAAAUGAAAGCACAGUGAAAGACCCCCGAACUAGGUCUUCCUCGGCGAUGAGACCCCGUGCCCACGGAACACCGAGACCACGAGUCAGAUGCAAACAGCAAGAGGUUUAUUCGUACACGGGUACCCGGGGCGGUCAAGUCUCAGCAAAGACUUGCGCGCCUCUUGUUGGGCUGGGGAGACUUUUUAUAGGGUUGGAGUGGCAGAAGCGCGGUUACAGAAGCGAGAAGCAUAGUUACGGGGUCUUAUUGGUCCAGUUAAAUGAGGCUGGUUUUUCUUUUCUUUUCUGAGGGCGAUUUCCCAGAAUGAGGGGGAAAAACAUGGGUGGCUGACUAGGCUCAUCUCUAGGGUCUAUCGGGUGGAGUCAGUACUUUCCAUUCCCAUCUUAGGGCCAGGUGGCUAUCUUAGGGCCGGGUGGCUGACCACAGAUAUCCUGUUUGGCAGCUAAACGGUGGACUUAGGAUAAGACCCCUGAACUUCUUGGUGCUGUCUUGCAAAUGGCGUUACUAUUGCUAAGCAUAUUAUGACAGGGGGUCAAAACAAGGGGAAGGGGUCUUUCAACAGGAAGAUUUCGUUUGGGGACAUGCAGCCUCGUGUAGCGUCUAUUAAAGACACAACUGGCUCUGUUAUGGGUUGCACGGUUGUAUUCCCCUACAAUUCACGGUGAAGGCCUAAACCCCCAAUGCGAUAUAUUUGGAAGUGGGCCUUUGGGAAGUGAUCAGGAUUAGAUGAGGUCAUGGGGGGUGGGGUCCCCCACAGUGGAGUUAUUGACCUUGUAAGAAGAGAGACCAGGGUUCUUCUCACACCUCCAAUGUGAGGACACAGUGGGUAGGUGGCCACGGGCAAGCCAAGAAGAAGGUUUUGAGCAGGAACUGGGUCCGCCUGCACCUCAAUCUUGAAAUUUUCAGCAUCCGGAACCAUGAGAUGUCAAUGUCCUCUGUUGAAGCCUCCCGCCCCGCCCCGCGGCAAGGUGCGCCCUGGCCAUUUACAGCUCUCGGAGGCCUGUAUUCCUUUUUAUGCUGUGAGGACACACGAGGGGGAGGGAGGCACACCCACGACGGAUAAAAACAGGAACCACGGGCCUGCCAGGGCCUGGGAUCUCAGCAGCCGGAAUUGCGUCCAAGACUCUCGGCCACGAAUGUGACGCCAGGGAGGGAAGGCUCCCCGAUCCUGCUACUCCCGGCUCCUCGCCCUUCCGGGGACCGAUAUGUACCGCUCUCUGUGCUCUCCGCAUCCUUCCUCUGCCUCGUCGCUUCCACGUCCCCAGCGCUCCUGCUUCCUCUCCACUUGGGCUGGUCGCGCGCAGCAACCCCCUCCCAGCCCCACACUCCUUCCGCGACUCCUCCUCUCCCAUCACCCCAGCUCCACCUCUGCCCACCUCGGCCUGCAACGCCUUCCCAAAAAGAGAGUGCGGGGGCGGGAGGGGGGGGCCCUGCGCCCCUCUUGGCUCAGCCUGCUGAUUGGCCGCCGCUGGGUCAGGUGAUCUCAUUAAGCCAAUCAGCUCUGCCCGCAGGGGCGGGGUCACCCAGCUCAAAGAUGACCACAGAGUGAAUUGACCUGGGAGGGACUGGCCAGAGGCGGUUAGCCCCAGGGGGAGGGGGCGGAGCCAGUGCCCUCCGGGGGCCCUCUGCUGGGAAAUCGGGUGUUGACCCAGGGGACAUUCGUUGACUGGAAUGACAGGCUGGCGCUCACAUCUCUCCUAAGAUCUGAUUCCCCAACCUCACUACUCUUUGGAAAAUAAAAUAUUUGAUUCCAA